rnacentral:tRNA from 1 species
GGCCUUAUAGUCAAUAAUGAUAUAAAAUUGCAAAUUUUAAGGAGUAAAAUAAAAUACUAAGGCUU